rnacentral:rRNA from 1 species
GAUGAACGCUGGCGGCGUGCCUAAUACAUGCAAGUCGAGCGAACAGACGAGGAGCUUGCUCCUCUGACGUGAGCGGCGGGCGGGUGAGUAACGUGUGUAUACCCUACCUAUAAGACGGGGAUAACUUCGGGAAACCGGAUCUAAUCGCGUAUAAUCUAUUGAACCGCAUUGGUCGAUAGUGAAAUACGGUUGUGCUGUCACGUAUAGAUGGAUCCGCGCCGCAUUAGCUAGUUGGUGAGGUAACGGCUUACGAAGGCUACGAUGCGUAGCCGACGUGAGAGAGUGAUAGGCCACACUGGAACUGGACCACGGUCCAGACUCCUAAGGGAGGCAGCAGUAGGGAAUCUUCCGCAACGGGCGAAAGCCUGACGGAGCAACGGCGCGUGAGUGAUGAAGGCCUUCGGAUCGUAAAACUCUGUUAUUAGGGAAGAACAACUGUGUAAGUAAAUAUGCCCGGCUUGACGGUACCUAAUCAGAAAGCCCCGGCUAACUACGUG